CACAAAUAGGUCGGACUCCCCCUUGCGGCUCCCCGGCCCCCACUGCUCUCUUCAGGCGCCCCUCGCCUUCAAUCUUCUGCACCCACCUCGCACAGGUCUGUCUCCGCGAACCGACAGACGGAUGGGAGAACUGCCCGCCGCGAGAGACCGGGCGGCAGGAGGGGGCGGGGAGGCGACGGCUGCAGCUUGAGAAGCAGGAGCAGCUGGAUCCUCAUACAAGCUGCUGACUGGGUAAGCUGCCAGGAAAGAGAAGUCAUGCUUUGAGGAUAGGUCAGUUCAAUGUCUGACCCAUAGCAAGCCUUCCGGAAAGAAUGGUUGGAAUACCAUGUGAUGGCUCGAAAUCGGGAAGCCAUUUUCAAACACAAGGUGGAAGCCACAGGUGGAGGACGGUGAAGUGACAAGAUAAAAGGAUCCUGGGUCCCAAAUGAUCACAGAACUGCCCUACCUGCCCUGGGUUGGCUACAUUUUUCUGAAAGAAAAGUAAACUACCUUUUCAAAAGCCACUGUUGGGCCGGCCGAGUGGCGCGAUGGUUAAGAACUGGCUUGGGAUACCAGAGGGCCCCGGUUCG